UGGGGAAUUUUGGACAAUGGGGGCAACCCUGAUCCAGCAACGCCGCGUGAAUGAAGAAGGCCUUAGGGUUGUAAAGUUCUUUUGUCUGGGAGCAAAAUGCGUGGGCUAAUACCCUAUGUAGAUGAGAGUACCAGAAGAAUAAGCACCGGCUAACUACGUGCCAGCAGCCGCGGUAAUACGUAGGGUGCGAGCGUUAAUCGGAAUUACUGGGCGUAAAGGGUGCGCAGGCGGAUAUAUAAGUUAGAUGUGAAAUCCCCGAGCUUAACUUGGGAAUGGCAUUUAAGACUGUAUGUCUAGAGUUUGUCAGAGGGGGGUAGAAUUCCAAGUGUAGCAGUGAAAUGCGUAGAGAUUUGGAGGAAUACCGGUGGCGAAGGCGGCCCCCUGGGAUAGAACUGACGCUCAGGCACGAAAGCGUGGGUAGCAAACAGG
rnacentral:rRNA from 1 species